AUUGAACGCUGGCGGCAGGCCUAACACAUGCAAGUCGAGCGGAUGAAGGGAGCUUGCUCCUGGAUUCAGCGGCGGACGGGUGAGUAAUGCCUAGGAAUCUGCCUGGUAGUGGGGGAUAACGUCCGGAAACGGGCGCUAAUACCGCAUACGUCCUGAGGGAGAAAGUGGGGGAUCUUCGGACCUCACGCUAUCAGAUGAGCCUAGGUCGGAUUAGCUAGUUGGUGGGGUAAAGGCCUACCAAGGCGACGAUCCGUAACUGGUCUGAGAGGAUGAUCAGUCACACUGGAACUGAGACACGGUCCGGACUCCUACGGGAGGCAGCAGUGGGGAAUAUUGGACAAAGGGCGAAAGCCUGAUCCAGCCAUGCCGCGUGUGUGAAGAAGGUCUUCGGAUUGUAAAGCACUUUAAGUUGGGAGGAGGGGCAGUAAGUUAAUACCUUGCUGUUUUGACGUUACCAACAGAAUAAGCACCGGCUAACUUCGUG
rnacentral:rRNA from 1 species